UGAAAGUGAUCAUGAUGAUGCUGAAGGCUCUUUGACCUUGAGGCUGGAAGGUGCCAUGGCUCUCAAUGAUGUCAGCGUCAGUCAUCGACCAUCCUCUGGGACUUCUUUAAGUCCAUUCCCAGAAUCCAAACAUCUUUCGAGUCCCUACUUGGAACCUCCACACCUUUCGACUGCAUUCCUGGAACGCAAACACCAUGCAAGCCAAUUCCCAGAACCAAAACACCACGCAAGUCCCUAUCUGGAACCACCACGCGGCCCGAGCCCGUUUCCUGACGCCAAACGCGGCCCAAGCCCAUUCCUGGAACCCAAACGUGGCCCAAGCCCAUUCCUGGAACCCAAGCGUGGUCCAAGUCCGUACCUGGAGCCCAAACGUAGUGCAGGUCCAUUCCUGGAUCCUAAGCAUGGCCCAAGUCCAUUCCUGGAACACACACACGGUGCCAACCCAUUCCUGGAUCCUACACUUGGCACAAAUCCAUUCCUGGAAACCAAACGUGGUGCUUGCGCAUUCCCAGAAACCCAACGUGGUGCCAGUGCACUCCCAGAGCCCAAACGUGGUUCAAGCAUGUUCCUGGACCUCCAACGUGGUGCCGGUCCUUUUCCAGAUCCCAAACGUGGUGCAAGUCGGUUCCCAGAACCCCAACGUGGUGCCAGUCUAUUCCCGGAACAUGGUGCGAACCCAUACCUGGAAUCCAAACAUGGUGCCAGUCCCUACCGAGAAACCACUCACCGUGGUACAAGUCCCUUCCCGGAAAUCAAACGUGGUGCAAGUCCCUUCAUGGAAUCCAAACCUGGUGCAAGUCCAUACCUGGAAUCCAAACGCGGUGCCAGUCCAUAUCUAGAAUCCAAACGCGGUGCAAGUCCAUACCUGGAAUCCAAGCGUGGUGCCAGUCCAUACCUGGAAUCCAAACGCGGUGCCAGUCCAUUCCCAGACCCCAAACGCGGUGCAAGUCCAUACCUGGAAUCCAAGCAUAGCCCAGGUUUUUGCUUGGAAUCCAAACAUGGUCGGCACUUUUCGAGUGAGUCCACCUAUUCUUAUUCUUCUGCUGAAGAGGCUCGACAGGAAGCCACAGGAAGCAGGGAUUCAUCUAGCCACAGAAGGCUCCACGGUGAAAGGCGCUCCUGGCAAGAUCUCAUUGAGACACCGCUGACAAGUUCCGGGCUCCAUUUUCUCCAGACCGGUCCCAUCGAAGAUGAUUACGUGUUCGGCCUAACUCUUAUGUCACCUGAAAAGCGACGACAGGCAACCCUGCCAGCCCAGAAAUACAACAUCAAUGACCAAGAAGGGCCUUUCCCACUGAUUCCCUACCAGCAGGAUCAUGGGUCCCAUGCAAGGCCCCAAAAGCAACGUAGUCAGAGUCUGCCUCGUAACAGAGAUGUCAGGAGCAAAGGUCAAAUAAAGGCAUCAGAGUUAACAGAGAUAGAGGAGGACCAAUUUCUCAUUAAGAAACAAAGUAGUUUCGAUGAGGAAGGAAAAUUUGACGCUUCUGGAAGUUCUUGAUCAACAACCUUGGAGGCUGACAUCAUUUCUGUAACCACAGAAAUAGUCUGGACUUCAAAGCUUACAGUACUGCCCAACAAUGGAACUAAAUCCACCUUUAAAAACAACAUUUUUUCAAUCAUUUGCUCUCUGUGCUUAUAAAACCUUUUAGUCUGUUAGCUGAGAAUAUCAUCGGUGAACUAAAUAUCACCCUUUUUGAUGCAUAGUAGAAACUAGAUGGAUCAAUUCUUAAAGUAGCCAUCGAUGCAAACUUUUUUUCGCUACGACUUCGUAUUUCUUCAAUUUAUUGACUGAGAAUGGAAAAUUUUCUUAUCCUAACACCAGACCCCCAGCAUUAUACACUGCAGUCUUAAAAAAAAAAAAAAAAAAACUUCUGAGAUGCAAGUAUUCUGAAUUAAAUAUUGUCUUUGAUUUUUAUAUCGUCGAUGUGUUUUUUGCCAGUCCUUGUCACUGGGAGGAUGACUAUAUUCUUUCUUUAUGUCAUCACUAAUCCCUCAGACUGGCCUUGUGUUUCAAUUUCGACAAUAUAUGUGUGGCUGAAAUUCUUAUCUAUCGGGGUCCUUAAUUUUCCAAACCAAAAUUUUUCUGCAUGGAGGUAAAAAGAACUUGUGAACUGUAUUUCAGAAAAUGCAAAGGAAAAAAGCGAUAGUUCUGAUGGGUUACAAGAACUGUACAGGUCUUUGGAAAAAGUCAGUUUGUCAGCCUUUGGAGAACAUCGGCCUUCUACUAAGCAAGAAUUCAGAAGGUCUUUUAUAAAACGAUGCAAUGAUCCAUUUAUCAAUCAAAAACUUCAUCACAUCCGAGCGCUCAGGAGUACUUUAAAAGCAAAAGAAAGAGACCUGAUACUUAUCGACAGCCUUCUGGAUGAUCCUGACUUUACAGCAGAAAGCUUCAGAGAGUGGAAGGAAAGGAAUCAUGAGUUUUUCAUGGACAUUUAUAUUUCAAACCGAUCUCCUUUCAUUAUCUCAUCAGCUAUGAAUGAAAAAAGAAGACAGCAAAUCAUCUGAUUUUGCUAACUGAGAGACUUGGCUUGUAUUAUCUUUUCAACAUGGCUAAUACAACAUUUCAUAAAGUUUCGGGUUUCUUUAACCAACAGAAAUUUUAACUUUUGUAGCUAGGAUGUGUACAUUUUUUAAUUCUUCUCUUGAUCCAUUUCAUCAAUAUAAGCAUUUCCUUCCACCGGUACAAAUUGUAACCCAUCCAUGCCUUCUCUUCCUGUGGCAUUCUAGUCCUUUCAUAAAUCCUUCCUUCAUCCUGGAUCUAUCCAACCCAUUGGAAGCCUGCCUGUAGUGCUUCUGACAUUUCAUUGGUACAAAUGCAGCGCUCGAACCUUCCAUCUGUUAUUCCACUCUCAUCACAUGACCAGUUUGCAUCCUCUUCUGAUCAUAUACUUCUUUGACGAUGUCUUUACACAUUUCAUAAAGUUUCCAUCUCUCUAUGAUCUCAAGGUAUAUUUCUUCUUCUCAACACACCAUCACAAUUCCAUACUCCAGACAGUAAGAAACAGAGUCCUAGAAGGUGUAGAUGCUACAGAGAUAGGAAAGUGUUAUCGCUUUGGUUUUAGGAAAAAGUAAAUUUCAACCCCUGGAUAAAACUUUAAAGUAUUCUUGAUUUUGUAUUUGUACUGUAUUGACAGUUAUUCACUAAGAUUAUAUAGGCUUUAAAUGUUGGUGAUUUUCCCUUUUUGCUCUUGAAAUGAGUUCUGUGUUGUAACUGGCUGUAUUGUUUUCUAUCACAGAUUAAAGUGUUAACUUUCGUGUGUGAUAAAA